UAGAACAUGAAACGACUUAACUGAAUAGUAAAGUUUGAAAUUCGUAAGUUUUUCUAUCAUAUGCGUGUUUACACAAUAGCCACCCCUUAAACUGAAUAACUACUUAGAAAGUAAUUUCGUCUUGAACAUAAAUGCAUGCCUUUUAUAGAUAAGGUACAUUCACAGACACUACUAUAACCAAAAAAAAAAAAAAACGGAAUGAAAAAAAAGGUUACAAAAAAAGUGAAAUUAAAGAUUGUACAUUUUCCAACCUUUAAACUUGGCUCAAUUUGAGUUGAACACAGUUUUUAAACAAAAAAAAACCAAGACUAGAUCAUGUGGAAUCAAAGAACCUUAUGUGACUUGGUGUAAUUGUUUGUCUGCUUUACUAAACGUUUGAUGUUUGUCUGUUUUGAUUUCAGACAGUAAUAUUGUUGUACACUAAACUAUAUGAAGUAACUAUGAUCUUGACCUUAUCUUCUCUUUGAAUGUGAUCGUGUAUCAAGUAAUAUUUCAAUCUAAUGUAUAGUAUUUUAUUCAGCAGCCGGUAACCACUUGUCUGCAUACAUAAUCUAUUUUACGACCUUCACAUUAUGUUUUAGAUAUUUACGUCAAACUCAAUCAGGAUCUUCCUCUCAUUUUGUGUGAGAAAUCCAAUAACGGUAGUGGUGUAUAUAAAUAACGUUAUUUAAACCCCUUUUCUGUUUAAAUUUUUCAAGUAAUGGUGUCAAAUGUAUCGACAUGUUAAUACUAUUCAAUGAAUAUUAUGAUACCGUCAAACACUAUUGUAAUGCUAACACGUAUCAUGUUAAAGGUAGUGACUAUGUUUGCUCAAAUUUGAUUUAAUUUAGAACAUGGCUGCAUACAUCUGUAUCUAAACGAAACGACGAAUGAAUCAAAACAGACCUAACGGUAACUAUAUAGCAAGUCAAUGUUCGGAAAGCUCUGAAAUUAAAACAAACACUAGCCUGAACGACCUUAGAGACUGAAAUUUCUUUUUGACACAAUCAAAUAUGAAGAUAAAAACUCAGACGCAUACAAAACGAGACAAAAAAUUAAAUUAAAGCAAAAACACAGAACUGAAACACAAUAAUUAACAAAAAACAUGCGAUUUUAACAUGUAGAUCAUACCUAUCAAUUAACAUUUGUAAAACUUUGAUACAUACUUGUGUCUAUUUGCAGUUGGAGUGUAAGAAGAUAAUAUAAUUGGUCACAAAUGUAUAAUGAGGAUAAAAUGAUUGACGAAACGUUAAAGUGUAUUGCACGUUUAUCGAUGCAUUGGUUUUGUUUCCAAAAGAAAAAAACUGACAUUUUAUAACUCAAAAUCUGAAUGGACAAGUUUUAUGAAAGUUAUAUAACAUAACAUAAACAAUGUUAAAAACAAU
rnacentral:lncRNA from 1 species